CUAGAAGGCAAAGGAGAAGAAGAAGAAGAAAGAAAGAAAGGAAGGAAAAGAAGGAGAGAAAAGUGAAGAAGAAGAUCAAAGAGCAAAGGAGCUUCAUCUUCUUCCUCUCUAGUGCGAGAAAAGGAAGUUUACAAGGUAAGCUUUGAACCCUAAUGUAGUAAACCCUACAGAAAUGGGUUUUGAAUGACCUAGAAAUGAGUUUUAGUGAAAUGUUUAAAGAGUUUUGAAGCUUUCUUUUGCUUCUAAAGAGAUCAAAACCUAGAUUUGUUAUAGAGGUGAGCUUGGACCACCUCUCAUGGUGAAAUCCAAACUAGGGUUUUGGAAAGCCUAAGAAUGGUUCUAAUGGAUUAUAUAGAGUAUAAUGGAGCUACUUUUGCUUCCCAAUGAGAUCAAACUAGGUUUUGUAUAUGCAUUGGAGCUAGGGCACCCAAAUUGGGCGCUUUUGCUCAUAGGGGUUUCUAAGUGCAAUUGACCCUCUAGAAACCUAAUUGGGGGUAUUUCCGACGCGUUGGUGCGCUCGGAAUAGCAUUUCGAAAAGUGUAUGUAAAGUUAUGGCCAAAUAAGCCUAAUUAGGCUUCUUUAUGCCGCAGGUAAAGAAAGAAACGUCUGAAAAUCCCCGAGAAAAUCGUCGGAGCACCUAAAGAGACCUACAAGGUGGUGUGCUUCUCAACUUAUUGAACUUCCCUCUAUGCCUAAUGUGUCAUUCUUUGAGCAUAUGUUCUAUAUAUUGUUGCACAUGCAUUUAGGUAAAGUAAUGAUGAAAUGUGAUGAUUGCAUGAUUGUGAGUACAACUGCAUAAUGAGAUGGUUUGAGAACCUGAUAAUGUAAAAACCUAUGUGUAUGCAUGAGAGAAAAGUGAGCACCCAAAGUGAGCAAAAGAACCGAGUGGCACAAUGACAUAGAUCGAGUGGCAUUCGAUAAAGCUAAUGUGAAAUGACACUAGAGUUAGUGUGAUGUAAAGAACUAAAGUGAUGUAAAAUGAGAAAGUGACAACGUGUAAAGUCAAAGUAAAAUGGGGCAAUAAGAACAAGAAUUGUAACGAACAGAAAUGCUAGAGUUAGCAAGAGAAAUGAAAAUGUAAAGAAUGUGAUUGCAUGAGUUUGCAACAUAAAGUGAUGUAAAGAACACUAGAGCUAGUGUAAAGUCAAGAUUGAACUUAUAAAUCCUUUGAGUUAAGGAUAUGAUCAUACUUGCUAUGAGUUCCGUGCUCGAGCGGUCGCUUCCCCUGGCGAUGGCGCUCCGGAGUUAUGCAUCCGGGUUGGAGUAAACCGUAAGGACGGUCCUAGCUGGUGAGUUCCUGCGAUGAUGGACUUAAUGUGAAGCAAGUUAAUGUGGAGAACCCCCGGGUUACCUUAAUGAUUAAAAGCAAAGAGUAAAGAACAAAGAGCCAAGAACAAAGUGUAAAGUGCAAAGAACUAAAGAACAUGCAUAACCUGCAUUUAGUAAUGUUGGGCAUAAUUCUUGCUAUUUUUCAGGCAUAUUAGCAUUAUGUAUAGUUUGGUUACUAUUUACAGCCUAUUUCUUCUAUUAUGCUGAGUUAGUCCUAGUAGGAAAGUCGGUGAUAGUUGAGGCCGAACCCACUGGGAGCUUUGUUGUAGUUCUCACCCCACUAUUUCCACAGAGCCGGGACCGAGCGAGCCGGCGAGCGACCGAGGUAAAGGUAUCGCGCCUUAGUCAGAGGCCACCAAAGUUGGGUUACAUUUUGUUAGUAGCUACCCCCAUGUUCAUCUUUUUGUACUUGAUGAUUAGUAAUGUAAAGAAAGAAUGUAAGCUUAUUUUGAGGUAAAUGUGAUGUAAGAAAGAAAUGAUGAAAUGAUAUAAUGAACGUAAGAAUCGAUAAAUUACUAGAUGAAUGCAAUGCAUAUGAUCUAAAAUGAAUCAUAAUUACCUGUGAAUGUUUAGUUUCCUUUUUUCUUUCACUAAUGGCUAUUGCUUACCCUCGUGUAAGCCGUUUGUGUAUGUUUCCGCUGUGCUUUUCUCUAUUGAUGAAAAUGUACAUGUGAUGAGCCUUGGCGGAUAGGGGAAACUCUGUCCCGUUCGCGUCUGUUUGACGUGCUCGGGUCGGGCCAAAUUGGCAUCGGUCCCGGGGCAUGACAGAUAAGUUGGUAUCAGAGCCAAUAGUGAAAGAAUAGGAAUGGACCUAGAGACCCUUAGGAUUGGAAGGCCUUAAGGAUCUAGGAAACGUGAGUGACGUGGAAUCAAAGUUAGCGAAAGCAUGUGAUUGGGUUAAGUUGGGAUGUCUUUAAUGUGAUUAGAGGCUAAGUUUAAUUUUCGUUUAUCCUUUACUUCUAGUGUUGUGCCGGGCGGCCGACGACAUGACGCUUGAGGCAAGGAUGAAUGUGCAUGUUGCUUUCGCCUAAUUGGGUAUGGUCAAGUAAUGUUGGUCAAGUGACUAAUGCGAGUUGCUUCUUUUCAGGAAGCAAUGGCACCUCGACGUCGAUCGCAAAUAAGGUCGAUGCCGGAGGAAGCAAAUGCGAUGCCCGAGCAAUCCGGAGCGAGUGGCGACGGAGAGCUUAGGGAACAAAUGGCCGCGCUCGUCGGAGUAGUGCGGCAACAAGCGGAGUCUGUUCAGCGCCAAGGGGAACAGAUUUAGCGGCUCCAGGAGACCUUGGAGCGCCAGUAGGCGGCGGCGGCCCAGGCGGGCGUCGAGCAUGUCGCGCCCCCUGCGGUAGUGCCGAGCGUGGACGUGGGAGCGGCGGCAGCGGCGGCUGUUCCAGUUACGGUAGUACCGGCCGGGUCGGGAACCUCGAAUCCCGAUAGCGCGGCAGUCGAUGCGGAGCGAGAGCGCACUCUGGCGGCUCUCAUUCAGUUCAAGAAGUUCGACCCACCUACCUUCGAAGGCGGUUUGGUGGAGCCAGCGGUUGUGGAGUCGUGGAUCGACUCGAUGGAGACCCUCUUCGAGGAUUUGAAUACCUUGGAGAAGGAUAAAGUGUACCUCGCCACCCAUUGUCUAGGGAAGGCGGCGACGGUGUGGUGGAAGCGAGUUAAGCGGGAUCGACCUGCCGAUCUCCCGCUCAUGCUUUGGGAAGAGUUCAAGAGAUCAGUGUUCGCGAACUACUUCCCCGACACGGUGAAGCGGAGGUUACAAGAAAAGUUCCGCAAGUUGAGACAGGGCGAUCGUUCGGUGGGAGAGUAUGAGCAAGAAUUUUCCCACAUUAUUGACUGCGUUCCCGAUGUUGUUCGCGAUGAUCGGGACCGGGCGGAUUGGUUCUUGCGAGGACUCCAACCCCGGAUUUAUGAAAAAGUGCAGAUCUUGAAGCUGUCGACCUUUGCGGAGGUCUUCGAUAGAGCUUUGUGGGCGGAGCACGGUAGCGCCCAUGUGCGUGAAGAACGAGAAGCUAUUGCCGAGUCCAAGGACAAGGGCAAGAAGAGGACGGCGGGUGGUGCCGGGGGCCGGCCAAAUGCUAAGAAACCCCCUCGGUAUCCCCGACAGCAGUCGAGGAAUUGGAGACCAUAUCGAUGCGUUAUAUGUGGCGGAAAGCACAAGGUGUCGACUUGCCCGCAGCGAGACGGCAAAUGCUUCAAAUGUGGCCAACCGGGACAUCUUAUCCGGGAGUGCCCGUCGUGGACGUCGUCUGCGCCAACGGCAGCAUCAACACCGUCUACCCCGAGACAGCUUGCGGGUUACCACCGGCGAUGUCGGCUGGACGCGCGUCAGCACCGCGUCAGCCGGAGGGAUCGAGAGCGCCUAGCGGUCGAGUCUUUGCCGCUCAGGUGGAGGAGCAACAACCUGCAGCACCCGACGACGUCGUGGCAGGUAUAAUUGUGAUUAAAGGCACUAGAGCUAGAGCCGUGUUUGACACAGGCGCAUCUCAUUCAUUCAUUAGCACUUCAUUUGCUAAGACUCAUGGCAUAGAGAUGGUGUACAAUGAGGACUACUGGUGGGUGAAUGCCCCAGAACAUUCAUUCAGUGUCCACAACGAGUGUUUGGCGUGUCCAGUGCAAAUAGGCGAUUGGAUUAUGCCGGUUGAUCUGCUAGUGCUAGAUUAGAUGUGGGAAUUUGAUGUUAUCUUGGGGACCAACUGGCUCUCACAAAUACGAUGCAGUGAGAAUUGUGAAAGCAAGGUAUCACUUUUCGUCGAACCUAAUCAACGAAGAUUUAGUCUACCAAGCGUGGCAAAAGUAGGACCUUCAGGGGCACUAUAUCGCUUAAGGGGAAGAAAAAUCAAGAGGAGUGUAAGGCUAUUUGCACCAUGUGGAUUCUGAAAGAGUACCACUUGGGAGAUAUUGAUAUGUUGCGAGUACUCUAUAUUUCCGGGAUCACCCAUGGACUUUGCACCGAAUCGGUGAUGAGUUUGUCAUUGACUUAAUUCCGGCGGAACUACAGUUUCGACUCGCUCUGUACGAAUGCAGCCAGUGGAGUUAAAGAGAGCUAACGAAGGUCAAUUACAGACUCCUAUCAUAAAAGGCUCUGUGAGACCGACGUGUGUCACUGGGGACUCGGCUGAGCUAUUGAAAAAAAGUACGGUACAUGGCCUUCCGACUCUCGUAGAUUUGAGAAUUGAAACAAUAGUAACGAUAACAAGAACAAGUACCUCACUUGCAGGAGAUAUGAUGAUCCUAAUUCGAUCAGUUGCAAAGGUCCAAGGUGUAUUAAGAUCAUCUCCAAUCGGGAUAUCAAUCAAUAAAAAUCAGGCCAAGAGGAUUGCACCAACGCAUACGGCGACCCGUCCGCGUAUAUGGCAUAUGAUUCACUUAUAUUCCGAGUUUGGGCUUACUAAUGCGACCAGCAGGCAUUUAUAGACUUUAUGAAUCAGUCUUUAGGGCCAGUUGUUGGAUGCGAGGUGCGUCGUGUGUUUUAUAGACGACGUAUGGCUACCUUCGACCAAGCGACAGAGUAGCAUGAAAGAGCAUCUGAGAGCUGUGUUCCAAAUAUCAAGACAAAGAAGACUCUAUCAAAAUUGAAGAUAAUGUGACUUUUGGCUAAAGGAGGUCCAUCAGUUCUUUGGUUCUGGGUAUUCUGGCGGACGGAGUUUCGGUAGACCGAAGAAAGUGAAACGAUGAACAUGAUUGGCCUCGCCCAACCGAUUAUCGGAGAUCCGCAGUUUUAUCUUGGACUAGCGGGCUACUACCACUUCAUCGGUUUCGUGAGGUCGCAGCAAACAUAACCACUCCACUAAUCAGGCCACCAUAAGGAUAAAUACGUGUGAUGCCGAGCGAUUGCGAUCGAAGACUUCGGAUUAAAGAACAUUGACGUCGCCCCUGUGUUUGCCUGCCGACUCGGGAGAUCUUUUGUAGUGUACAUGAUCUUCUAGUUGUCUCGGUUUGCUGUAUUAAUGCAAAUGGCGUCUACUUGCAUAUGCCUCGCUGCCAUUAAAGAUUACGACGAAGAACUUAUACCCGAUUCACACUACUCUUGAGUUGCCGCCCAUCGGUUGAAAUUCGAUUCCGCGCCUAAAAAAUGUAACAUAUAUGGUAGCAAUUGGUAGGUAUAUAGCUCCGCGAUCACUAAGAUCUCAGGAGUGACUACAAAAGAUUUAAAUAUGGGCUACAUUACGACGUGGUAUAAGUUCGUAAACGUGACUAUGAUUCACUAUAUAUACCACCUGAUACCACCCAUCGAAAACCAAUGUCUGCCAAGGCCUAAGUAGAAGAAUUCGCGGCAGAACCUAGCGACGGCAAUGACCCCAGCCGCUAUUACAAAAGCGAAUGCAACAUUCAGGAGUGAAGUGGUACUCCCGGAGUGCCGCUACCCUGCCACAUUGGUUGCAACCGACCCUAUUUGAAAAUAUCAAGAUUACAAGCUUCGACCAUUAUCUCCAAAAGUCUCGGGUGAUUUGAACAUGGAUAUGCGAAGACAUCUUGUCGUUGAGUUUUGGCGCAAUUAACGAUUUCGAAAAGAAUAGUUUUGCCUAAAGAUGAUGAUUAAAGGCGAAUCAUGCACAGAACCGCAUCAACUCCCUAUAGUGAUACACUCCGUCACUAAAUAAUGUACACAGCGAUUGAAAAGCACUAUUGUGGCCGCGGAUGAAAAGAGAUAUUGGGGAGUUCGUUGCCAAUUUUAACCGUGCCACAGGCUUUAAAAGCAAGCGCCGAUUCUCGGCGGGAAAGCACAAAGUCUACCAAUACCUCAGUUGGAAAAUGACAAGAUAUGAGCAAUGUACUUUGAUACCGUUUGACCUUGAUCGUCAAUGCGACACGACCGAUAUGGUAAUAAGUGAUCGAAUUUGACAAAAGUCGCACAACUUGUCUGCCGUAUACCGACCUGACGGGUCGGGAGACAGCUAGUCGCAAGUUUUACUCGAACAGAAGUUGUGAGACUUCAUGGGUCCAUGUUGAUCGGUUCGGAUACGAAGACUACGCCCUAGGUUCACACCCAGUCUUUUUAACGAGUUUGCAAGACGGCGCUAGGCACUAGCGCUCGACUUCAGUACAGAGACGUUUCUAUCCUCAGCAGUGUAUUAGACCAUACAGACGCGAAACAAUAACAACAUCCUUGAGAUUUACACUUCGGCGUUUUGUGCUAGAUUACACAGGAGAGGCUAUGACUUCUUGCAUAUUUCGAGUUCCUACAAUAAAUACUACCAAGAAGUAUAACGCGAUGGCUCCUUUCUGAGGCACUAUAUAGUUCGACUAAGUGUCGUCCGUCUAUCCAUUUGAGCGACGGGGCCGAGAGAACGACUCUUUGGCCCUUGUGUGCGGAGGCGAAAGACGAAAGUCCGCUUGCCGUCAACGUGCGAUGCGCAAUCUCCUUGCAAAACGAUUAUGCCGACAAGAGCCAAAAAGAUUUAAGUUCGCGUUGGGUACGUGUAUUCUUAAUAUGUCUCGAUAUCGGAGGAGUUAAACGAUUCCGGGGUCCGUGGAGUCGAAGCCUCCGUUAAUGUUGCGACCGUUUGAAGAUAAUUGGAGGUGUUGGGUGCGGAUGCGUAUAACUUCGCACACACCUGAGACUGCAAGGAAGAGUCAGCAAUGUUUUCAUGUCGAAUCUUCGAGAAGUAUACAUGCCAAACUGCAACACAUGAUUGAAUAACGAGCCGUGAUACUGAAGACAUUCCCUAUGAGAGCAGCCCGGUUUCCUCGAUCGAUCCGAAUAAAAAUUAAGAAUCGCAUCCAAAUCUUAUGUAAAAGUCAAUGGACAACCACCGCGCGCGAGAACCCUGGUGACUCGAGGAGUCAAUGUCAAAGAGUACCCGCAUUGUUAAAUGACGAUAAGGUUGCGUAAUUUCGACGACGAUAAUAUUUAAGGGGUUGGAAAAUAGUAAUCAUAUCCCGCGAAAAUUCGGUAAAAUAAAAAUGUGAACUUUAGUCAAUGACAACAGUGCGAAGACGGGAACACUGGUUCGAAAAAAUCCGAAGGUGUUAAAAUGAUCUAAAGUGAGUUGUGGAAGGUUUUCGAGAGCUAAAGGAUCAAAUUCUGCGAAACUGCAGAUUUUCAGCUCUCGGGGACCGGUCCCUGGUGGGAGAGACCGGUCCCCGAACGCGUAUGAAAUGAGACAGCCGAAAAAUCGGCUAAGUCCUGAGAAAGUAGCUCUCGGGAACCGGUCCCUACCCGAGCGACCGGUCCCCCGGAGACCGGUCCCAUCAGAGAGAGACCGGUCGCAUCACGCGCAGCGGCUCUGGCUGCGCAGGGUGGACGUUCGGGAACCGGUCCCUGCUCGGGGAGACCGGUCCCUGCCUGCGCGAACUGCCCAGUUCGGGCAGUGUAUUAAAGUGAAAGUUGAGGGGUUUUAUUGCAUUUUUGCAACCCAUUGAGCUAUGUUAGAGGGUUAAUGAGAUUUUCUCUCAUUCCCACCCUCUCAAACACUCUCUUCUCUCCCUCUCUCUCUCUAGAAGGCAAAGGAGAAGAAGAAGAAAGAAAGAAAGGAAGGAAAAGAAGGAGAGGAAAGUGAAGAAGAAGAUCAAAGAGCAAAGGAGCUUCAUCUUCUUCCUCUCUAGUGCGAGAAAAGGAAGUUUACAAGGUAAGCUUUGAACCCUAAUGUAGUAAAAUCCUAAAAUGGGUUUGAAUGACCUAGAAAUGAGUUUUAGUGAGAUGUUUAAAGAGUUUUGAAGCUUUCUUUUGCUUCUAAAGAGAUCAAAACCUAGAUUUGUUAUAGAGGUGAGCUUGGACCACCUCUCAUGGUGAAAUCCAAACUAGGAUUUUGGAAAGCCUAAGAAUGGUUCUAAUGGAUUAUAUAGAGUAUAAUGGAGCUACUUUUGCUUCCCAAUGAGAUCAAACCCUAGGUUUUGUAUAUGCAUUGGAGCUAGGGCACCCAAAUUGGGGCUUUUGCUCA
rnacentral:lncRNA from 1 species